rnacentral:lncRNA from 12 species
CGACUUUUCAGAGAGAAUGUGAAUACAUUUGGUAUGUACUAAAAAGCUGGAAGCCCCUAAGUAAACGCAGUAUCCAUAGGAAGGGAGUUUCUUGAAGAGUCACCUGCUAAACUCCACUAGCGUCAUCUUUGCAAUUGCUAUGAGAGUGACUACCCAACAAUGUUGGUGUAAUGGAAGACAUUACAGUCUCAAGGAAUAAUUGGUUGAGAGUCAUGAAAGUAAGGAUGAUGAUGGCAUCAACGAAUCAUAAGCCCGCAUGCUAUGGAUGUUCUUAUAAUUCAGAUUCACAACUAAUCUGGAAAAUGUAUUUGGAGUGAACUGGUAAAUAUUCUUUCUCUGUGUAGGUCUCUGCUUGGGAGCUUGAUAGACAUCUCUUGUUAGCUUAUUAAAUUGUAAACCCUCCCACUUUUUAGGAAACCUUCAUGUUUACUUGAAGUUUAUCUUUUUUUUAAACUUCUAGUGUUUUAUCACAGUUCUAACCACUAGAAGAGACUAAAACAAGUCCAUUUUUGUCUUUUUGUUAUAUAACUUCAAACAUUAGCAAACUACUAUGGGUUCUUUCGUACCUUUCCCUUAACUUUUCCCAGAAUACAUAACUCAGUAUCUCUGAUGUUUUCCAAUAUGGCAAAAUUUAUAAAUCCCUUAGCAAUCUGAUCAAAUUCUUCAGGGCUCUUUUAUUCAUUGAAGAAAUAUUUAUCGUCUAUGAACUCUCCACCAUUAGGAAUUGUCCUGAUAAAAUACUGAUCAUGCUAAAACAGUUUUUCUCUUAUGAAACUUACUGUUUAGUUGGUAGAUAAGAAAUAAUCACAUAAGUUCAUAUAUAGUAGUUAUGAGCAUGAUACAUCAUCUAAGGGAAAUUGUAUGCUUUCUUAAUACCUUCCAUGUAACAAACUGCUCUUACUAGAUGUUACACUAUAUCAUAUCUGAUCAGCAGGGUUUGCAUAUUGUAGUUCCAUUUUCAUAUCUCAGUUACAUUAACUCUAUUUGCAGUAGCAUUAAAAUAGUGACGUUACUGGUCAAUAAUAUAUGAUUGUAGUUUUUUAAUAAGCUGUAUAUAGAGAAUUUUUUAUUUUUUUUUUAAAUUCUACCUUCCAUUUCAUAUUUUGCCAUAUUAUUACCUAUUAAAAAUCAUAAGGAAAUAUACCCUUCAAAUGAAACAUUUUUUUCUGGGUUUGUAUUUGGUUGGAUUAUUUAGAUCAUAUUUAAGUUAAAUUUUAAGCCUACAAAUGAUGCAACAUGAAAAGGGAAUAAGGUGAUGUUUUAGUUGACCUUAGAAAUCUAUGGAAGGUGUCAGGUUGGAUCACAAGAGACAAUUGCUGUUUGUACCUCCUUGCUAAGGGUUGACAGUAAGCCAGAGUGCAAUGACUUAUUGUUUUCAUCCAGCCAAGAAGUAAAAGUGCCUUUUUAUUCUUUUUACAACUUAGUAAUCAUAGAAUGCUCAAGAAAAGCCUAAGGUAGAAAAUGUAUUGAACUAGAUAGAACUUAGCAAUUUAAAGAAAACUGCUGUUCUUGUCCUGUAAAAAUGAAAGAGAUGAUUGAAAUUUAAGACAUUAGGAGGUAAAAGAAAUUGAAUUCUCAAGAUUAAUUUUUUAAAGGACCCAAGGAGUUAGUUCUGUUUUUCCUUUUUUAAAGAAAAGUUGCAGUUGUAACUUGCUAAAAGAAAAUGAAAUCUUCAAAUUCCAUUACAUAAGGAAAAAACCCCUCCAGUAUUUGAUCUAAAUAAGUUAUGUACAGACAAGGUCCAUUAGAGAGAGUGUCCUAAAAUUUGUCACUGAAGAGGACAGCAAAGGAAAUACAAAUGUUUCCUAGAUUAAUACAAUUUCAGAUUAAGGAUAUUAUGAGUCUAAUUCAAAGUACAUAUUUUUGAAUGAAAUGCUAUGAUAUUAAUUAAUGUUUACAAAUAGAAGAGUGGUUUUAUUUGAUCAAUUUUCUAAAAUCGGAAAUCAAUACUUCAUUUAGAUAAAAUACUAAAAUGAAAUAUAAAAACCAUCAAAUAAAAAAUUGGUGCAUUUUCUUAUCUACA